UACAGAGGUCCCAAGCGUUGUUCGGAUUCAUUGGGCGUAAAGGGUGCGUAGGCGGCGCGGUAAGUCGGGUGUGAAAUCUCGGAGCUUAACUCCGAAACUCGCGACUUCGAUACUGCCGUGCUUGAGGACUGGAGAGGAGACUGGAAUUUACGGUGUAGCGGUGAAAUGCGUAGAUAUCGUAAGGAAGACCAGUGGCGAAGGCGGGUCUCUGGACAGUUCCUGACGCUGAGGCACGAAGGCCAGGGGAGCAAACGGG
rnacentral:rRNA from 1 species